AUUGAACGCUGGCGGAAUGCUUUACACAUGCAAGUCGAACGGUAGAGGGGGCAACCCCUCGAGAGUGGCGAACGGGUGAGUAAUAUAUCGGAACGUGCCCAGUCGUGGGGGAUAACGUAGCGAAAGUUACGCUAAUACCGCAUACGAUCUACGGAUGAAAGCGGGGGAUCGCAAGACCUCGCGCGAUUGGAGCGGCCGAUAUCAGAUUAGGUAGUUGGUGGGGUAAAGGCUCACCAAGCCAACGAUCUGCAGCUGGUCUGAGAGGACGACCAGCCACACUGGAACUGAGACACGGUCCAGACUCCUACGGGAGGCAGCAGUGGGGAAUUUUGGACAAUGGACGCAAGUCUGAUCCAGCCAUUCCGCGUGCAGGAUGAAGGCCCUCGGGUUGUAAACUGCUUUUGUACGGAACGAAAAGGUUUCCAUUAAUACUGGGAGCUCAUGACGGUACCGUAAGAAUAAGCACCGGCUAACUACGUGCCAGCAGCCGCGGUAA
rnacentral:rRNA from 1 species